GAGUGGGCAGGCCUGGUGUGAUGACGCUGUCGGCACUCUGCUCUAAUUUAUUCAGAACGUGUGCUCGGAAUCAGCAGGAUGUGGCUCCAGGCUCAGCACCGAGAGUCGGUUUUACGGCUCCUCUGUGGACUCGCACGGGCCGGCCACUUGGUAUAGCGUUUGGGGCCUGUGGUCCCUGGGAUGACGGACCGCACCCUGGCCUGAGGGCCCCUGUGUCCUCUCCGGCCCUGCAGUCUGGUGGGUGGCAUGCCCUUGACUCCAAGGGACUCGCCAUCCGGGUUACAUCAUCGUCCUGACCCAGGAAAGCGGUGGGAAGCAGAGAGGGGUGGGGCUUACUCACGGAUAACCCCAAACCGAGUCCACGUCCAGUUCUUCAUUCUUUCCCUCUCUGCGGCUCCAGGGCCCCCUCCCUCGAGGACCGUGGCAGGUGCGGAGGGUGCAUUAGGCUCUUGCCUGGGCAGGGACCAGGUGCUGUGGGGAGGAUGCGGGUCGCUGGCAGGUGCGCCGUGCCAGGCAGGUGGGCAGACCACCCCUUGUCCUAGAGGAGAGGCCCUGAGAGCGGCUGGGAAGCGGUUUACUUUCGUGGGAGCCCACGGGGGCCUCCUUGACAUGUGAUAAGGUGCCCGUCUUGGAAGUGUACACUUGAGUGGUUUUCACAAAUGCGCCUGGGAAGCCAUCACCACAACCAAGACAGUCGACGUAUCUGUCACACCUGGACGUUUCCUGGGGCCCCCUGGCAAUCCAGCCUCCCAGCCAGCCCCACUCUGUGUCCCCAGGCAAGAUCCCAUCUCCCCGUCACUACAGAUCAGCCUGCCUUUUCUAAGAUUGUAUCUACAUAGAAGCACAUACUCUGUACGCUCUGUCGUUGAGCCUCUCCCGCCGCGGCCCAGCUUGGAGGUGCGCCCACGCCACAGCGCAGCCUCCAGCUACUUCCGCUGCGCUGCCACGUGACGCACCAUGGACGGACCACAGCUGUUCAUCAUUCGCUUGCUGCGGACAUUCAGGUCGCUUCCGGUCUGGGGCCAGGGCAGGCCGUACUGUGGAAUGUUCGUGCACGAGUCUCCAUGUGCAUGUGUGUUUUCACUUCUCCCAGGAGCACGUGCAGGAGCGGAGGCACCGGAUCCCAUGGGAGGCGCGUGUCCAGUUGUUCACGGAGUUGCAAAGCUGUUUCCUGCCGUGGCUGCGCCGUUCCCUCCAGCAGCGCCAGACAGCCCCGGAUGCUCCUCGCCCUCCUCAACACUGGAAACGAUGUUUGGUAGACCUCACCGGCAAAGGCACUGGGGCUGGAAACCGUUUGUGGACUGUCCGUUCUGCUCCGUUGGUUUAUAUGUCUACUGUCACAUCAGUACCAGAUUAUCUUGAUAAAGUUUUUUUUAUAAUAAAAAUAAAGCCUUAA